CUCGGCUCUCGCAUCGAUGAAGAACGUAGCGAAAUGCGAUACUUGGUGUGAAUUGCAGAAUCCCGUGAACCAUCGAGUCUUUGAACGCAAGUUGCGCCCGAAGCCAUUAGGCCGAGGGCACGUCUGCCUGGGCGUCACGCAUCGCGUCGCCCCCGCGCUAC
rnacentral:rRNA from 1 species